GAUGAACGCUGGCGGCGUGCCUAAUGCAUGCAAGUCGUACGCAGGGUGCUUGCACCGCUGCGUGGCGCACGGCUGAGGAACACGUGGGUAAUCUGCCCCGGAGUGGGGGGAUAACCUAGCGAAAGCUGGGCUAAUCCCGCAUACGCUCGCAAGAGGAAAGCAGUAAUGCGCUCCGGGAUGAGCCUGCGGCCCAUCAGGUA
rnacentral:rRNA from 1 species